rnacentral:rRNA from 1 species
UACGAAGGGGGCUAGCGUUGCUCGGAAUCACUGGGCGUAAAGGGUGCGUAGGCGGGUCUUUUAAGUCAGGGGUGAAAUCCUGGAGCUCAACUCCAGAACUGCCUUUGAUACUGAAGAUCUUGAGUUCGGGAGAGGUGAGUGGAACUGCGAGUGUAGAGGUGAAAUUCGUAGAUAUUCGCAAGAACACCAGUGGCGAAGGCGGCUCACUGGCCCGAUACUGACGCUGAGGCACGAAAGCCAGGGGAGCAAACCGGGG